rnacentral:tRNA from 1 species
GGGCCGGUAGUCUAGUGUGGCCAGGACUUCCCCCUAAAAAGGCUGAGGUCGCCGGUUCAAGUCCGGCCCGGCCCACCA